GACGAACGCUGGCGGCGUGCUUAACACAUGCAAGUCGAACGAAGGGCGAUGGAAGCUUGCUUCUAUCUAUUUUCGUCGCGCGCGGGUGAGUCACGCGUAAUCCCCCUGCCCUUCACUGGGGUACAACCGUUGGACACGACUUCUUAUCCCGCAUACUUUCUAAUCUCGUCAUCGAGGAUAGAUAAAAGGUGGUCUCUACAUUUAUGCUAUCAUUCAAGCUGCGUUUUGUGUUUGAUUAGCUAAUUGGUGGGGUAACGGCCCACCAAGGCGAUGAGGAGUAGCAGGUCUGAGAGGAUGAGAGGCCAAAUUGGGACGGAGACACGGCCCAGACUGCUACGGGAGGGAGCAGGGGGGAAUCGUCAGCAAUGGACGAAAGUAGGACGGAGAAACGCCGCGUGAGGGAUGACGGCCGUAGGGUUGUAAAGCUCGGUUAAUAGGGACGAAAGGCCUUCUUGCGAAUAGGGAGAAGGAUUGAAGGUACCGGAAGAGAAAGCCACGGCUAACUACGUG
rnacentral:rRNA from 1 species